UCACUUCAGUGACCAUGAUGAAUUCCCCCCCAGCCUUCUCUUCUCCAAGGAGAGAACACCUAAUUCCUUCAGUGCUUCCUCCAGCCCUUUGAUCAUCUUCCUGGCCUUCCUUUGGACCCUCUCUUGUCUUUCUGCUUCUUUCUUGAACUGUGGGGACACGAGCUGGACACGGUGCUCCAGGUUCCUUCCACAGGCUCUAGUGGAAGGUGUCCCUGCCUAUGGCAGGGGGUUGGAACCAGAUGGUCUUUAAGGUCCCUUCCAACCCAAACCAGUCUCUGACUGGAGGUGCAGCGUGACAGGUGAUGAGUAGGAUGGGAAGAUCCCACUCUGUCCCCACAGAUGCAGCCCAAGACCCCAUCUGCCUUUUAGCCACAGCAGGCACUGCUGACUCAUGAUCACUCCUUGUCCACCAACAUAUUUUGACCUAUACAUUUCUGCUUUAGCAGAGAUAUGAUUCACUGGAAUAAAAUUAUAUCCACUGAGUUUUUCCUCACUUGCAGAGGAGAUUAUUUUUAGGAACUCCCAACAUUUCGCUUACAGAGAAGGAACUAGUAGUGUAAAAUUUCUUUAAUUUCUCCCCGAAAGUCAAAGAAAUACAGCAUGUUUGCCUAUUCACUUGCUCCAUCCUUUGGCAGCAAGGGAUAAACUUAAAAGGCCUGGGUUUUUUUCAGGCUCUUGCUAUCAUAAAAGCACCAGUUUUCUGAGAUAGAACAACCUCUUUGAAGAUAUGGUAUUUACUGUUUUCUGAUGGUAUUAAUUGCAAAACCUGUAAGCUCACAUGAGCUUACUAGACACAGCCAGACACACGCUACUAGGAGGAAUCUUUUUUUAUUUUUUUUAGUUGAGGCAUAUCUUAGCCAUGUUUCCAUGACCAGUGGCCACACAGGCAUUUUUAAAAUAACCUCUGAUGUGUUCAGGUAUUCACUUUUUCUUGCUAGCCAGACUUCAGACAAUCACAGGAGUCUCUUGUUACUCUCAAGAAAAUGAAAAGAUGUUUGUAGAGGAAAAAAGUAAAGCAGGGGACACAUUUUAAAUCAUAUUGAAGUGUCAUGGUGGAGAGUCCUAGGCAUCAAAUUUGCCUGUUUUCCUUAGGAGAAAAAUAUUCCAUGGCUGCAGUACCCCAGUACCAGAAAGAAUAUCCUACAGAAAUGGUGUAAUAUGCACUUCCAGGAGUUGAUACGAUGGAUAUGGAAUGGAGGCCUCUCUCCCACAGGCAGUGACUUUACAAGCAGUGUGAGAAGCACUGGCCUGACACAGAGUCAGCAGAUUUGUAGAGGAAUUGAGGUGUAAUUUCAGUGUACUGUACAAAAUGAGUUUUCUGAGGGGUGGUGGAGUCCAGGGAAGUGUUGUUACAGCUGACACCUGGUACAAAAGACAGACUUAAGUUGUAGGAAAAGCAGUUCUGUAUUCAAGACGUAAGGGAUCCUGAUUGGAGUCUUGCACCUGCCCUUUAUGGAUGUCUGCAGAAGCAAAAUAUGUAUUUGCCAGAAUGUAUAAAAGAAAUUUGUCAUGGACCAAAAAGGAAAGAGAAGAACAGGUAUCAGGGAAAGUCUCAGUUGAUGCUUUGCAGUGUCAAGGAAUUGCACACUAGAAAGGCAGAAUUUUGCUGAGUUUUAGGGUGGCUAUGCUGUGAAGAAAAAAGCUUGUAGAGAAAGCAAUUUGCAUUUGGAAAAGAGAUUAUUUUACAGAUAUUGGUUCAAGUUCAUAGUCAUUCCCUGAAUAGCAUCUGGUGUAUUAUCUCAAUAGAUCUUGUUAUCUCCCAUAGAAAUGAGCCAAGAAAAGUAUCUGUAGUAAGAUUUGAAAAUAACCUUUGUUAUUAUAUGUCAUUAACUCACAAGAAUCAAAAUACAUGGCCACCAAUGACAAUGACUAAGAACAAUACAGUUUCUUGAGCAGUCUGUUCCAUGCAUUUCCAGUCUCUAGAAUAAUAAUAAUAAAAUAAUAAAAUACAGCAAUUUUAUGAGCAUUUAUCAUUUGCCUGGGCUGUGCAGCUAAUGAGACAGAAAAAGCAUGAAGAAUUUGUAUGGAUGAACUCCAUUUACCCAAUUUCCAACUCAAACAUAAUGAUAGGAAAAAUAAGCAAUGCAUAAAGCUGUGUAUCGGGUUUUUUGCUUUUUACAGUUCCUGUCUUGCAGCAGCCUGGGCUGAGUCAUUAUGGCACACAACAGGUAUGUGCUCCUGUCAGCAGCAACCAUCAGCCUUGUGACAUUUCCACUGCUUCCAGCUGCUGGGGGGCCAUAGCAGGAAGAUGUCAGAUCCUCUUCUCAGUCACAAAGGAAAGGAGGCAGUAAAAAAGAUGUCUCUUACAUCAUUUAUUUGAUUACCUUCUCCAUUUGUCAAAGCAGUGCAGCACAAAGCCCCGCGUGGAUUUUUGGGAAGCUCUCUGGAAUCUGCUGGGCUGUAAGCACGCAUUUCAAACCCCAGUAAACAAGGAUGGCUUCGUGUCUUUAGCAUGUGUUUUGCUGAGUCACAGGGCAGCAGGAAUUCCUGCAUUUAAGGUGGUGCAAAUGUCUUUGCCAGAAAGCCAAAUUUUCAGUUGCGUUUCUUUAACUUACGUUUGAGAGAAAGUAAAUAAAACCUCGGAGGCUGGUUCAAAAAAAAAGUCAUGCAUUCAGUUUGGAGUUAUCUGCCUUGACAUUGCUCAGCCCUAGAAAUAACAUUCACUUUUUGGCAGAACUCUCUGACGCAGCACAACACCAAGUCACGUUCCUACUUGGAGCAUUAGGAGACCAGACAUCUGUUACCUUGUUUGGGUUUUUUUUUUUCAGAUAAAGACACAAAAAGCAACGCUGACAAAAUGUAUUAACACGGGAUAAUCUCAGUGUUCCCUUUAGCUGUGCAUUUUAAAUGGCUGAGU